AUGCACUGCCAUUUGAGACUUGACUCAAAGCUAGUGAAGCUAAAAAGCACGGCCGACCUCCAGGCCGAUUCGGUGGGACUAGCCCUUGAUGAGUGCAUGCUUAGGUACGAUCUUGAGGAUCAACUCAUGGUCAUCUACACCGAUGAGGAGGCAUAUUGGCGGCUGCGAGGAACCUAAAAAUGGGUUCUCAAGGGUGACGCCAAUACCGCCUACUUCCAGGCCAUUGCCAACGGUCGUAGGAGACGUAAUACCAUUCCCUUGCUCUGGGAUGGGGAGACCCUCUUGCAACGUACGGAUGACAUCCGAGCUCAUGUAGAUGGCUUCUAUAAAGCCCUCUUUUCCGCCCCCCUAGGGGGCCUGGCCCUUGCUCCAGACUUCUGGGUUGGCACCCACUGCAUUUCAGCUGAAGAAAAAUUAGCCCUCACGGCUCCGUUCACUAAGGAGGAAGUGUGGCUGGCGAUUAAAGGGAUGAACCCCUUGUCUGCCCCUGGUCCCGACGGUCUGCCUGUGAAGUUCUUACAAACCUUCUGGCCGACUAUAAAAACAGAGGUCAUGACCCUCUUUCGGGAGUUCUAUGUGGGCUCCAUUGACCUCCAUCGCCUUAUCUACGGGAUCAUCACAUUGAUCCCCAAGGUGCCCGGCGCCUCGGACACCCGUCAGUUCCGACCGAUCACGGUGAUCAAUGUGAUCUUUCGCAUUCUGGCAAAGGAGUACGCCAAUAGGAUGGCCCCUUUGGCUGACUGCAUCACCCACAAGGACCAAUCCUCCUUCAUCCAAGGUCGGUAUAUCCUGGAUGGGGUUCUUGUCUUUCACGAAGUCCUGCACAACGGCCGGUCCAAAAACCUCAAAGCAGUCUUCCUGAAAAUCGACUUCCACAAGGCUUACGACACAGUUAGCUGGUCCUCCCAUCGGGAAGUGUUUCUUAGGAAAUGCUUUGACGAUCGUGGUGAAGGAAAUAUGCCCUAG
rnacentral:rRNA from 1 species